rnacentral:rRNA from 1 species
GACGAACGCUGGCGGCGUGCUUAACACAUGCAAGUCGAACGGAAAGGCCCUGCUUUUGUGGGGUGCUCGAGUGGCGAACGGGUGAGUAACACGUGAGUAACCUGCCCUUGACUUUGGGAUAACUUCAGGAAACUGGGGCUAAUACCGGAUAGGAGCUCCUGCUGCAUGGUGGGGGUUGGAAAGUUUCGGCGGUUGGGGAUGGGCUCGCGGCUUAUCAGCUUGUUGGUGGGGUAGUGGCUUACCAAGGCUUUGACGAGUAGCCGGCCUGAGAGGGUGACCGGCCACAUUGGGACUGAGAUGCGGCCCAGACUCCUACGGGAGGCAGCAGUGGGGAAUAUUGCACAGUGGGCGGAAGCCUGAUGCAGCAACGCCGCGUGCGGGAUGACAGCCUUCGGGUUGUAAACCGCUUUCGCCUGUGACGAAGCGUGAGUGACGGUAAUGGGUAAAGAAGCACCGGCUAACUACGUG